CAUAACCUAUAAAAUAAACCAUAGUAAAUCUAAAGAAAAUAAUCCGUUUAUAACAUAUAUUAUGUAGGUGAUCAAUUGACAAACAUAAGAUUGAUACUUUUACGUUAAAUUAGAACAAGUGCAACAUAAAAGCCUAAGGCAGACAAGGGUACUAUUAUUGGUUUCUCUAUAUACUCAAGACCAAACAAACCGCUUUGUGUGCACUAUAUUAAACAUUUAUAAAAAUCAACAAAUUUACCACACAAAUGCUGAGUUGUGUAAUAAGUUAUCCUCAGUUUAUAUAAAAAUGCAUUGUUCUGUUAAAUUAGAGACUCACUAAGCAUGUAUCAUUUACAAAACUAAAUAUAAGCUGACUAUUUAAUUGGACAAUUAUUACAAAUUAAAGAGAUAAUUCAAAACUGUUCU